AGGAGUUAGCCACAGGGAGGGCCGCGGGCCUGGGCUGAGUUGUGGGGGAGGAGGUGGCAGUUUAGGGCCUCAGGGGACAUAUGGGGGCGGUGGCAGAGUCAGGCGAUACUGGCGGGCUGGGGGUGGGAGUGUGCCUGCUGGAGGCAGGUUAGAGGGGAGACUAGACCUUAGGGAAGUCUUGCAGGGCAGAGCUGCCUCGAAAGGGCCCGCAGGAACCCGGGGAGAGGAGCACACUCCAGGCCUGGGUGUCGCUGCUGCCCGCUGGAGAAGGGGAACUUGACCCCUGGGAGGGGGCCGAUUCCGCGUAGGCUGGGCGGCCCCCUGUGCCCUGCUUUGUCUGAAGGAGGGAGGCAGAGACUGGAGGAGGCUGAGGGUCUCGCCACCCUUGCUGGAGGCGAUAUCUGGCCGUCGAUGCCCUGAACAUGAGCAAGAAGGCAGGCCGUGGGGUGCGGGGUCGCAGUUAGGCUGGGAAGGCAGCACUUGAACUUGUCAAUACCAGCCGCCCCCUUUUUUUCCAGACAAAGGGGUGUGAGCCCGCCUGGGGAUGAGGCCUGGUGUGGUGGCAACUGACCUUAGCUUCGCGGGGCUGACAGCUCCGGCCCAGGGCGGUGGCAGUGCUCCCUUUUGGACUUUUCCUGUAGGUUCCGUGCUAACCUCUUCUUGUUCAUCAUGGCGAGCUGAUGGCACCAGGAGGAUGGAGCCCCUGGCCAGUGUGAGUCCUAGCAGUGCAGGAGGGGAGACCCUGGAGGAGAGAGCCCGCCUAAAUUGAUGUCUGCAGAUUGAAUUUCCAGAGGCUUAGGAGGAGGAAGUUCUCCAAUGUCCCGUGUCCAGGCCUUGGCUCAGGAAGCCCUGUAUUCAGGAGGCCACCCUUUAAGGGUGUCAAUGAGCUUGUGAGAGGGUGAUGGUUCCAAGUCCCAAGCAGAUGCAUCCGGGGUCGUCAGCAGAUGUGUUGAGUGUUUGAUCCGGAGCACCAACCUCUGGGCACGUUGAAUGCCAGCAGGCACCUCUCCUGUUCGGGGGUGGAGGUUUUCCGAUGGCUGCGUCUUCUAAUGCCUCCUGUCAUGCUAGUUCUGUGCUACGAACCUUGCUUCCAGAAGACUCUUAAGAUGUAGAACAUUUUAACGCUGAUGCCUCAACGCAGAGUGAUGCCUGGUAGAUGGAGCUUGCAGAUGGAGCCCAGGGACCCUGUCAUCUACUCACCUGCCUGCCCCAGCCUCGGUCGGAGGAAUUCUUAGUGUGAUGAUGUAACCUGUGUGUCCAGAAAGUGUUCACUGUUGAAACGCCUUAGGCCAAUACUCACAGGAAGCCACCUGGC
rnacentral:lncRNA from 1 species